UACGUAGGUGGCAAGCGUUGUCCGGAUUUACUGGGCGUAAAGAGCGCGCAGGCGGUCGUGCAAGUCGCGUGUGAAAGCCCCCGGCUCAACUGGGGAGGGUCACUCGAUACUGAUCGACUUGAAGGCAGGAGAGGGAAGCGGAAUUCCCGGUGUAGUGGUGAAAUGCGUAGAUAUCGGGAGGAACACCAGUGGCGAAGGCGGCUUCCUGGCCUGUUCUUGACGCUGAGGCGCGAAAGCUAGGGGAGCAAACGGG
rnacentral:rRNA from 1 species